rnacentral:lncRNA from 1 species
GACUCCCAAGAGAUCCUCAAUUACCAUGGCUCAACUCUCGCAAUCAACUACCCACAUUGCUUUGACAGUCGAUCCGCCAUUUCAUCUCUAUUACAAGUCCUGUCCUCAGUUUACCACCAGCAACUCGCCGACACCGACCAAUCACCUAUCCAUUUCGGUAGGCAUGCAUGCAACAUAUUAACACCACACCGUGAUCUAUACAUGGUUUCUUUAAUUAAACCAUACCUGCCACGAC